CAAUAGCGUAUAUUAAAGUUGUUGCGGUUAAAAAGCUCGUAGUUGGAUUUCUGCUGAGAACGACCGGUCCGCCCAUUGGGUGUGUAUCUGGCUCUUUCUUGGCAUCUUCUUGGUGAACGUUACUGCACUUGACUGUGUGGAGCGCUACCCAGGACUUUUACUUUGAGGAAAUUAGAGUGUUUCAAGCAGGCAUACGCCUUGAAUACGUUAGCAUGGAAUAAUAAGAUAGGACCUCGGUUCUAUUUUGUUGGUUUCUAGAGCUGAGGUAAUGAUUAAUAGGGAUAGUUGGGGGCAUUAGUAUUCAGUUGCUAGAGGUGAAAUUCUUGGAUUUACUGAAGACUAACUACUGCGAAAGCAUUUGCCAAGGAUGUUUUCAUUAA
rnacentral:rRNA from 1 species